rnacentral:lncRNA from 1 species
CGCGAGAUGCACGUUGAAAGUAAACACACAUGAGAUAAAAUGUAUAAUUUAGUCUGACGAAAUUUAUGUAGUUGAAACGUGAAUAUCUAAGCAUAGAAAUUUGAUAUAGAUAACCACCGAAUGGCUCAUAAUCCAGCGGCAUGUCGCGCCUAUCGUUCCAAGCUCGAAAGAUAAAUAGAAGCACGGGGACCAGCACCGCCUCGAGGGCAUUACGUCGCUCGUUCUCUUUCACGCGCAGGCAUCUUACAUCCUCAUACCUAUGUCCAAUUGAAUUCGGAAGUGCAUA